rnacentral:rRNA from 1 species
UACGGGGGGGGCGAAGCGUUGUUCGGAAUUACUGGGCGUAAAGGGCUCGUAGGCGGCCAACUAAGUCCGACGUGAAAUCCCCAGGCUUAACCUGGGAACUGCGUCGGAUACUGGUUGGCUUGAAUCCGGGAGAGGGAUGCGGAAUUCCAGGUGUAGCGGUGAAAUGCGUAGAUAUCUGGAGGAACACCGGUGGCGAAGGCGGCGAU